rnacentral:rRNA from 1 species
CCUACGGGUGGCAGCAGUGGGGAAUAUUGGGCAAUGGGCGCAAGCCUGAACCAGCAAUGCCGCGUGAAGGAAGAAGGCUUUCGGGUUGUAAAAUUCUUUGACAGGGGAAGAGCAGACGACGGUGCCCUGCAAACAAGCCAUGGCUAACUACGUGCCAGCAGCCGCGGUAAUACGUAGGUGGCAAGCGUUGUGCGGAUUUACAGGGUGUAAAGGGCGUGUAGCCGGGAAGGCAAGUCAGAUGUGAAAGCCGGAGGCUCAACCUCCGAAUUGCAGUUGAAACUGUUUGUCGUGAGUGCUGGAGAGGCAGGCGGAAUUCCUUGUGUAGCGGUGAAAUGCGUAGAUAUAAGGAGGAACACCAGUGGCGAAGGCGGUCUGCUGGACAGCAACUGACGGUGAGGCGCGAAAGCGUGGGGAGCAAACAGGAUUAGAUACCCUAGUAGUC